rnacentral:rRNA from 1 species
GAUGAACGCUGGCGGCGUGCCUAAUACAUGCAAGUCGAGCGAACGGACGAGAAGCUUGCUUCUCUGAUGUUAGCGGCGGACGGGUGAGUAACACGUGGAUAACCUACCUAUAAGACUGGGAUAACUUCGGGAAACCGGAGCUAAUACCGGAUAAUAUUUUGAACCGCAUGGUUCAAAAGUGAAAGACGGUCUUGCUGUCACUUAUAGAUGGAUCCGCGCUGCAUUAGCUAGUUGGUACGGUAACGGCUUACCAAGGCAACGAUGCAUAGCCGACCUGAGAGGGUGACCGGCCACACUGGAACUGAGACACGGUCCAGACUCCUACGGGAGGCAGCAGUAGGGAAUCUUCCGCAAUGGGCGAAAGCCUGACGGAGCAACGCCGCGUGAGUGAAGAAGGUCUUCGGAUCGUAAAACUCUGUUAGUAGGGAAGAACAUAUGUGUAAGUAACUGUGCACAUCUUGACGGUACCUAAUCAGAAAGCCACGGCUAACUACGUG